GUGUGUGUGUGUGUGUGUGUUUGUGUAGUGUGUUUAUAUAAUGCACACUACACAAACACACUGCAUUCACUAUACACACUACACAAAUACACACAGUCUG